UCCAUGAUCGCCAUAAGAUGCACGAGAGCGAAAGCAUUUCACUCAAUUGCGUUCAUUAAUCAAGAACGAAAGUUAGGGGAUCGAAGACGAUUAGAUACCGUCGUAGUCCUAACUAUAAACGAUGUCAACCAAGGAUUGGAUUAGUUUUAGAGUGACAGAAGUCCGGUAACGCUGUUACUGGGUUGACGGAUCUCGCUUCCACCUUAUUCAGAACUUAAAGAGAAAUCUCGAGUUUAUGGACUUCAGGGGGAGUAUGGUCACAAGGCUGAAACUUAAAGGAAUUGACGGAAGGGCACACCAGGAGUGGAGCCUGCGGCUUAAUUUGACUCAACACGGGAAAACUUACCAAGACCGAACAGUAUUAGGAAUGACAGAUUAAGGGUUCUUUCAUGAUUUAUUGGGUAGUGGUGCAUGGCCGUUCUUAGUUGGUGGAGUGAUUUGUCAGGUUAAUUCCGGUAACGAACGAGACUGAAGCCUAUUAAUUAGUUUCUCGCCUAUAAGACGAGAAUGUCCGCAAGGAUGGAUGCUUUUGCAUCACUUCUUAAAGGGACUAAUAUCAAUUGUUUCUCGGUUGAUCAGUGCGACCAUCUCGAUGGUACCUUUUCAAUCGGAAAAAAAGAUAAUGGAAGCAUUCAGCAAUAACAGGUCUGUGAUGCCCUUAGACAUCUUGGGCUGCACGCGCGCUACAAUGGAGAUACUAGCGAGUAUUUGUCGGGGAUGCUCGGUUUAUCGGCUCUGUCGGUGAAUCGAGAUUUUCUCCGGUGUACCGAGACUGAAAUAGUUUAGGAAAACUCAA
rnacentral:rRNA from 1 species